GAUGAACGCUGCCAGAAUGCUUAACACAUGCAAGUCAACUUGAACUUCGGUUUGGGUGGCGGACGGGUGAGUAACGCGUAAAGAACUUGCCUCACAGCUAGGGACAACAUUUGGAAACGAAUGCUAAUACCUGAUAUUAUGAUUUUAGGGCAUCCUAGAAUUAUGAAAGCUAUAUGCGCUGUGAGAGAGCUUUGCGUCCCAUUAGCUAGUUGGAGAGGUAACGGCUCACCAAGGCGAUGAUGGGUAGCCGGCCUGAGAGGGUGAACGGCCACAAGGGGACUGAGACACGGCCCUUACUCCUACGGGAGGCAGCAGGGGGGAAUAUUGGACAAUGGACCAAGAGUCUGAUCCAGCAAUUCUGUGUGCACGAUGAAGUUUUUCGGAAUGUAAAGUGCUUUCAGUUGGGAAGAACAAAAUGACGGUACCAACAGAAGAAGUUACGGCUAAAUACGUG
rnacentral:rRNA from 1 species